ACAUUUUAUUCACUUUAUGUAAUUUGGUUACUUAGUUGAAUAUUACUGAGUGAUGUGCAAAAAGAGACUUCAUGUAAUGACUAAAAUUACUGUAUUUAUUAAAUGAACUCUGGGAAGACCGUCUAGACCAAUGGCAGCAAGUUUCCUCAGCCUCAUCAUUUCUGCUGUUUUACAGGUUUAUUACCUUUCCACAUGCCCUGUGCCUGGGGCUUGUAAGACAUAUAAGCUGGCUUGCCAACCGGCAAUAAAAGAAUAGCAGAAACAACAGCAAAAAGCUUUCGCCGUGGAAGAUACCGUCGCUAAGGAGAAGGAAUUGAGGAGGACUCUUCAACCGAUGAGGCUCGUCUUGGAAGACGGGGAAAUCCAGAGACCUGGAACGUGAAGGUCCAGAAAAGUAUGUCCAUGCCAGUCUGCAACCUGCUAAAGGUUCACUAAACUCUACUGCAGAAAAGCAGAAGACACAUCAUAAGAACAAGAUUUCUAAGUAUUUCUGGGGGAAUUUGGACUGGAGAAAUGAUUGUGAAGUCUGUGGUGGAGGGGAGCACUGUAAAGCGGCGGCGGACAGGAGCAGAUGAAUCCAGAAGAAAGACCAGUGUGAUGCCUACUGUUCUUUCAAGCCUGGAAACAUCGAAGCAGCUUCAUGGGACACAAAGCCUGCGAAGCAGAAGGACAAAGACGAUGCAGAUGAGAAGACCUUGUUGGCGCUCACUCCAAUUCCAGGCCAUACCGUGUGAGGUACGUAUCUUCAAGGACUUCUGCCAGAUGGGGAACUGGGAAAAAGCUGGGGAUCCAACAUUGCAUGACCUCCAAACAAUCAGGUAUUUUAUCAGACAUAUACAUUCUUGCACAAAUAUUGCCUUCUAUGUCAAUAGAAAUCAGUUGUGAAAAGUACCCAAGUACAUGCGCCCAAUUACUCUUCUUUUUGAAGUACUACUCCACUACAUUUAUUUUGAUGGCUUUAGUGACUAGUUACUCUGCAGAUUAUAAAUUAAAAACAUAUUCAAAAACUAGAGUAUUUUCACAGAUAAAGCCACACAGCAAAAUAUAAAGUAGUUAGAAUUAGCUUUACUUUUCAUCUUAAAAUUUGAAUGUAGGACUUUUGACAUACAGAAUAUCUCUACAGUUUGGUGUUGGAACAUUUACCUAAGGUCUGACUACUUUUUCCACCACUGUGAAAGACGUACUUUGUAAUCUAUUAAAAUUCUGUCCCUAUUUUCCCUUUUAAAUUCUUCCAUCCACUAGAUACAACGUGGAUGGCACCUCACGCAGACGCACACACACACACUGAUGUACUUAGGCUAUAUUGGUUACAGUUGUUCAUUAAAAUGAACGUAACGUAAUUAUAUUUUUGCAUUAUUUUUUAAAUACCUUUUACUGGUUUUAAUGGUUUUAACAUAAUUCCUAAUUGUUCAAAGUAUUAAGUCAAAUAUCUAGUAGUAGUCAAGACUCCAAUCAAUUGUCUCUCACAAAUAGUCUGACAGAUUCUUUAUCCUGGUUGUUCAUAAUAAUAAUUUUGAAUGUUGUGUGGUUUACACAGUAAAAUAAAUUUCAACCUUUACUGAUUAAA